rnacentral:lncRNA from 1 species
UUAUUCUUUCCAGCUGUCCGCUUCAAUUUUGAAUCGUGCAUUGAUUGCUCCAUUUGGGAAACCCUUUUCAUCAUUUAUGUACCAACGAGGUUGAUCUAAAAAAAUGGUAAAAACCUAAAUAGAAGAAAGAAAUAGUGAAGCAUUAAAAAGGAAUACCUUUAAUGAUGACUGCACUAUGUCAUUCAUCCAAGUCAAAGAGUUGAUUCUCAAGCUUGGCUCUCUCGAUUAGACCAAUUAGGGGUUUCAACCACGCAUCAGCAUGACCUGAUUUUCUCAAAAUAUUACCAUCGACAGGAACCUCCAUGAUAACCCGUGUCAUAGCCGACUUCCACUUGAGGAACCAACCUCAGUGUGAUACACAUUUGUAGUAAGAACUAUGGAAGGAGUCAAAAUAGCUUGGGCGGAGCAGCAAAAACAACAGUCACGACUACC